UAGGGAAUCUUCCGCAAUGGGCGAAAGCCUGACGGAGCAACGCCGCGUGAGUGAUGAAGGUCUUCGGAUCGUAAAACUCUGUUAUUAGGGAAGAACAAAUGUGUAAGUAACUAUGCACGUCUUGACGGUACCUAAUCAGAAAGCCACGGCUAACUACGUGCCAGCAGCCGCGGUAAUACGUAGGUGGCAAGCGUUAUCCGGAAUUAUUGGGCGUAAAGCGCGCGUAGGCGGUUUUUUAAGUCUGAUGUGAAAGCCCACGGCUCAACCGUGGAGGGCCAUUGGAAACUGGAAAACUUGAGUGCAGAAGAGGAAAGUGGAAUUCCAUGUGUAGCGGUGAAAUGCGCAGAGAUAUGGAGGAACACCAGUGGCGAAGGCGACUUUCUGGUCUGUAACUGACGCUGAUGUGCGAAAGCGUGGGGAUCAAACAGGAUUAGAUACCCUGGUAGUCCACGCCGUAAACGAUGAGUGCUAAGUGUUAGGGGGUUUCCGCCCCUUAGUGCUGCAGCUAACGCAUUAAGCACUCCGCCUGGGGAGUACGACCGCAAGGUUG
rnacentral:rRNA from 1 species